rnacentral:rRNA from 1 species
GACCUCCGGUUUACCAGUUGUGCCGCCAGGUGCACCGCUGGGUAUCUGAGUCUGGUAUGGAUAAGCGCUGAAAGCAUCUAAGUGCGAAGCCUUCCGCAAGAUUAGAACUCCUCAUAAGGGUCGUCAUAGACUAUGACGUUGAUAGGGUGUAGGUGUAAAGACAGCGAUGUCAAAGCCGAGCACUACUAAUUGCCCAAAACUUUCAUU